rnacentral:rRNA from 1 species
AUUGAACGCUGGCGGCAGGCUUAACACAUGCAAGUCGAGCGGGGUGAUGGUGCUUGCACUAUCACUUAGCGGCGGACGGGUGAGUAAUGCUUAGGAAUCUGCCUAUUAGUGGGGGACAACAUUCCGAAAGGAAUGCUAAUACCGCAUACGUCCUACGGGAGAAAGCAGGGGAUCUCCGGACCUUGCGCUAAUAGAUGAGCCUAAGUCGGAUUAGCUAGUUGGUGGGGUAAAGGCCUACCAAGGCGACGAUCUGGAGCGGGUCUGAGAGGAUGAUCCGCCACACUGGGACUGAGACACGGCCCAGACUCCUACGGGAGGCAGCAGUGGGGAAUAUUGGACAAUGGGGGGAACCCUGAUCCAGCCAUGCCGCGUGUGUGAAGAAGGCCUUAUGGUUGUAAAGCACUUUAAGCGAGGAGGAGGCUACUGAGACUAAUACUCUUGGAUAGUGGACGCUACUCGCAGAAUAAGCACCGGCUAACUCUGUGCCAGCCGCCGCGGUAA